ACUGGUGUUUGAAUUAUGUGCCGUGUGUGUUAGUCUCCUGACAAGCUUCAGCCUACAACAUGGACCCAGCAGAGAUCACCCAGAUCAAGAAUGUUGUAACCCACCAAGGAGCACUGCUGGGGCGGCAGCAAGAACAACUCUUCCAGAUAUCAGAUCCCCUCCGGGCGCUUACCGACUCCCUCCAACCAAGGUCCAACCCCAACCCAGGAGGAGCCAAUGCCCAAGUUUCAUCACCCAGUGCUUAAGGCGUUGUUGUAGUUCCACCAGGGAACCUGCACUGGGAACCCAAGAUCCCAGCCCUUGAGUGGUAUGACAUGCCCUGAGCUGACGGGAAACGAAAGGGCUUGCCAGGACAAGGGGAGACCCUGACGAGCUGUGCAGUCACCCCCGGCUACCCAGUCACCAUCUCACUACCUGCAACCUUCCACUGGGACAACCGUCAGCACCAGAUUCAAGCCUUCGUGGACUCCGGAUAAUUUUAAUUGAUCAAUACUUCACCGGAGAAUUACAAAUCCCAUGUGUGAAAUGUCCCAUCCCUCUGCAGAUUCAAGCCCUCGAUGGAUGCACCAUAAGGAUCCGUCCAGGAAUAACAGACCAAGCCUCCGGGAGGCCUUCAGUAAGAGGCAAGCCACCACCCUCCCUCCUCAUCAUCCAUACGACUGCGCCAUAGAACUCCUCAGGAUCUCAUUACGGUAUCUCUGAGCAGUCAAAUUGCCAUUGAUAAAUUGCAAUUAGGUUUGUUGUCUGUAGCUUAUGCAGGCCCAUACCAUAACCCCACAGCCACCAUGGACACUGUUUCAAUGUUGACAUCAGCAAAUCACUCACCCACACAGCGCCAUACAAGUGAUCUGCAGUUGUGAGGCUGGUUGAAAAUACUGACAAAUUCUCUAAAAUGGCUUACGGUAGAGAAAGUAACAUGAAAUUAUCUGGCAACAGGUCUGGUGGGAAUGUGGCAUUGUGUUGAUAAAAAUGUACUUUUCAGAAUGGGUUUCUAUUGUCCCCAGCACAAGGUGCACCUGUGUAAGGAUCAUGCUUUAUAAUCAGCUUCUUGAUAUGCCACAUCUGUCAGGUGGAUGGAUUAUCUUGGCAAAGGAGAAAUGCUCACUAACAGGGAUGUGCACAAAUUUGUUUACAACAUUCACAUUUGAGCGGAAUAAGCUUUUUCUGCAUAUGAAACAUUUCUGGGAUCUUUAACAGUGGCAAGAAAAAGUAUGUGAGCCCUUCGGAAUUACCUGGAUUUCUGCAUAAAUUGUAAAUAAAAUUUGAUCUGAUCUUCA